GGGUCAAAAGAAUAGAAGAAACUUUAUUUUAGCGGUUUUCUUUAUAGAUAAGAAAUAGAUUGUUUCCACAAAGUUUUAAUCAACAUACAAUAAGACUGGUCAUAAACACAAUCAAGUGCAAGCAAGUGAAGUUAAUAUUGGUAAAUGACAAGGUGUUGCUAUUGAGUAUCGUUUAAAUCAGAACUGUGAUGUCGUCUUCGUCCAAAAACAGAAAGACUAAAAAAGAGUCAGGUGCCUUCUAUAGAAAAAAGAAUAGAAGAAAUCUCAAAACAAGCGGGAGCAUUGAAAAGAUUUCAUCCAUAUCAUAUAGUACUGCAUCAACAAAUGGUUGAUCGUGAUUACGACAGAAGGUUGGAUUAUUGCAACUGGUUACUACAUAUGGUAUAUGACGACCCUCAAUUACUGUCACGUAUUUUGUUGUCAGACGAAGCUACAUUUAGCAGCGAUGGUACGGUUAAUCGGCAUAAUAUGCACCAUUGGUCACAGGAUAAUCCACGCUGGAUGGAAGAAGUUCAGUAUCAGGGGCGAUGGUCGGUGAAUGUAUGGUGUGGUAUUGUAGAUGGUCAGAUAAUUGGACCUUUUAUUUUUGACAACGCAAUUAACGGGGAACUUCUCUUAGAAGACAUAUCACUAGCAACUCGUAGGUUUAUGUUAUUUCAGCACGAUGUACGGAGCAUUUCUCCAGACAAGUUAGAGAAUUUUUAGGUAAUGCUUACCCUGAUAAUUUGAUAGGACGUGGAGGCCUAUUUUUUUCGUAAGCCCGGUCACCAGAUUUAACCGCCUUAGAGCCCCUACUAGAGAUAACAUGAUCGAGAGAAUACGAAACGCCAUUCAGAGUAUUUCGAGAGCAGAAAUUGAGACUGCUGUUCAAUCUACUCUUCAAAGAAUAAACGCUUGUAUCGAAAACGAUGGGCGACAAUUUGAACAUUUAGGUUGUCACUAGCGAGGUACCUUAAGUUAUAUUUCCAUUUUAACUUCCAUAACACAGUUUCCCGGUGACAGCAUAAGUAAUAUUGACAUAAUAAUUGGAACUAUUAUUAAUAGAACAAGUAAAGACAAUUUUGAGGAGUCAAAAAUGUUAAAAUCCGUUCAGUCAAACCGGA